UCUUUGGAAUUUCGAGAUUUCAUCAAGAAACGAGAGCAUAUCGAGUUUGAAGCGGCAUAGGGUCAUUCCGCACAAAAACGGCGAUUGGAGGAUAUUACUCAGGGACAAAGUUUAGCUAAGCGGAGCUAUUCAGGGGUCAAAAGUCAUGAGGGAUGGCACAUCCUAGGGAUGGGUGACCGGACAAAGGAUAGCCGUGUAACCCGAGGAAGUGCUGAUGACGGUGCAAGAGGUUCAAGGGUGGACAAGAGUGAGGUUCUCUCCUAGAUAAUUAUAUUAUUAUAUUUCGGAUGUUUAGGUUUAUGAUUAAACUCAUUUUGUAAUGUAACCCGGUACGGGACGGUUUUAAUUG